ACAGAUCGGAAGUGCAGAGGAAAAAGGGAAGCUAGCCUAAAGCUAAAGCUUUUUCUAAACUUUUCAGCAGCGAUGGGCGUUAUUCUUUAAAAAAAAAUUCCCUACUCCUUAAAAUUCUACGCCUGUGAGUCUUAAUUGUGACUUCCGAGGGUUUCAAUUUGCCUUUCUCUUUCUCUCUCUCUCUCUCUCUAUCAACUUUUCUCGAGUAAUCUCUUGCUCCCGAUUUUUUUAUGCGCUAUUCGAUAACAGAUUUGUUCUCCCCCCUUUUUUUUUUUUAUUUCCUUUCCAUUACGAAAUUGUUAUUUUCUGAUUUCCUCGACAAUUGGGUAAGUGCGGAUGAUUAAGGAGACAGAUUAGAUUUGGGUUAUAAAAAUUAUACAAAUAUACUUUAUUACAGGAUAAUGAUUUCGCUUCAUUCAUCAUUUGUUACAUAUAUAUAUAUAGGUAUAUAUAUAAUGGGGUGCUUACCAUCAAUUAUUUUCAUACUAAAGCCUGUAUAUACAGGGUUAAUUGUAACGUAUAUUAUAUGUGAAAAAAGGAUGAAAAUAACACCCCGUCUAUCCAAUUUUAAAAAUUAAUCGUCACUCGACUCGCGUUUCUGAGCAUUCGAUAAAUUGCCUCAGUUUUUUUUUUUUUUUUUUUUUAAAUUGUUUGCGAAAACCGUCCGAAUGAUUUACAAAUAAAAUUUUCUAUUGAACACUGUAACACCAGUUUAUAAUCCGAAGUUUCCCGCUUAUCAAUUUGACCAAAAAAUUCAUUUGACUAGAGCGGUAAAUUGGAAAUUACGCUUUUCGGAGCUGAGAAAAGCUCUGCGUGCAAAAAUUAUUGUUCAAAUCGAAUACAGGGAUACUGACAAUUGUUGGAAAGGCCCUUACAUUGUUAUAAUUUAUGUAUGACAUCUAAUGCCAACAGUUGUAUAUAUAUAUAUUCCAAAUAUAUAUAAUAUAUAGCUAAGAUAUAAGGUAACUUAUGUAUAAAUAGCACGUAUUCUUAUGAAAAUAUACAUGUGUGUGUGCGUGUGUGCGCAAUAUAUAAAAAAUAUUAACGUAUGCAUAUACAUGUAUAUACUUAACAAUCGUUAUUACCGUUAUUUUUAUUGUUAUUAUUUAAUUAAGCUAAUGUACAUGCUGCGCGCCGUUUGUUCUGUCGAAGUAAAUCUUUGUAGGCAUCGAUGAAUUAAAAGUGAAAAUGAAUGUUCGUUUGGAAGUGACAGAAGAAAGGGGACGAAAAAGAAACGCGGUUGAGG